UAUUCGAGAAAAUCCAUUAUGAUGCACAAAUUAAAAUAUCGCGAUAAGUUGAAGUGGCUCCAAGCACUUCUGAUCUGCGUCUGUUUGAGCCACUUCGCAGAAGCCCAGACGAGAGAUCCUAGAUUUUAUUCCCGGCCCGGCGUCGACUGGCCGAACCCAGGGGAUCCAGACUACAGAACUUACACCUUCAACGACCGUCGCUAUGGUCACUACCAGCCCAAUGGCUUCGGGGCCAACUACCCGGGCAGGAAUUCUCCUGGCCAAUAUCCUCAAGGAAUGCCAAACGAGGAUCGCUUCCGCUUCGAUCCGAAUGACCCCAAUGCCCGGACUCAGUUUCCGGGAGUUUUGGCCGGAUGGAGGGAGGACUUGCAGGGAAAGCAGCGAAGGGACUCACUGACCUUGGAGCGGGAUGUGUUUGUAACCACAAACUAUGGGCAGGUGCAGGGCUUCAAGGUGUACAUGUACGACAACCCCGAUCCGAAGUCCUUCUACCGUCCCUACCACUCCACCGUGGACCGUGUGAUGGGCGAGUGCUCGGCCUUCCUGGGCAUCCCCUACGCCCUUCCGCCCACCUUUGAGGGCAGAUUCAAGCCGCCCCGCAUCCACCGCGGGUGGCAGCUGCUGCAGGCUGUGGAUUUCGGACCGGCUUGCCCACAACCCGUUCGAUACACGGGUGCCACCAAGGGAGUCAUGGACAUGGACGAAGAUUGCCUCUACUUGAACGUCUACUCACCCAAGACUGGCGCAGGAGUGGCACAAAAGUACCCGGUAAUGGUCUACAUUCACGGCGGAGAGUUCAUCAGAGGCGCCUCAAACCUGUUCCAGGGUCACAUAUUGGCGUCCUUCUACGACGUUGUAGUGGUGACCCUCAACUACCGUCUUGGCGCUCUGGGCUUCCUGUCCACGGGGGAUGAGAACUCGCCUGGAAACUACGGAAUCCUGGACCAGGCGAUGGCCUUACGCUGGAUCCACGACAACAUCGAGUUCUUCAAUGGGGAUCGUGACUCCAUUACGCUCUUCGGUCCUGGUGCGGGAGGCGCCUCCGCCGGAUUGCUCAUGGUGGCGCCCCAGACACGGAACAUCGUGAAACGGGUUAUCGCCCAGUCGGGAUCGGCGCUGGCAGACUGGGCACUGAUUCAGGACAAGUACCGGGCGCAGAACACUAGCCGGGUGCUGGGUCAGCUUCUCGGCUGCUCCAUCGAGUCUUCGUGGAAGCUGGUCAACUGCCUGCGCACCGGACGCAGCUUCUACGAGCUGGGAAAUGCUGAGUUCGCUCCGCAGGUGGGCAGCUUCCCCUGGGGUCCUGUGCUGGACCACAAUUUCACGGUGCCCGGCGACGACUGGUACGAGGGCUGGAGGGAAAAGGACUGGCGGUUUCUCACCCAGACUCCGGAGACGCUUAUCCGGGCCGGCCGGUUCAACAGGAACAUUCAGUAUAUGACAGGAGUUACUACCCAGGAGGCAGCCUUCCUGGUGGCCCAGAACGAGUCCUUGAGUCCGUACUAUGAGCUGGACGGACGCUUCUUCGAGCAAAAGAUCCGCGAGCACGUCUUCCGCUACAACUACACUCUCAACCCCAACGGCGUCUACGAGGCCAUCAAGUACAUGUACACCUACUGGCCAGACCCGAACAAUAACACCAUCAUCCGGGACCAGUACAUCAACCUGCUGAGCGAUCUCUACUACCGAGCUCCAGUGGACCAGAUGGUGAAGCUGCUGCUCGAACAGAAGGUGCCGGUGUACAUGUACGUACUGAACACCACGGUGGAGGCGCUGAAUCUUCCCCAGUGGCGCAAAUAUCCUCACGACAUAGAGCGCUACUUCCUCACGGGGGCUCCCUUCAUGGACACCGAGUUCUUCCCCAAAAAGGAGCACCUGCAGCGCAACAUGUGGACCGACAAUGAUCGGAAUAUGAGUCACUUCUUCAUGCAAACGUACUCCAACUUUGCGAGAUACGGCAAUCCGACGCCCCAACAGGUCCUGGGCAUGCACUUCCAACGGGCCUACCAGGGCGAGAUUCGCUACCUCAACGUCAACACCACCUUCAACUCGUCCAUCCUGCUGAACUACAGGCAGACGGAGUGCGCCUUCUGGACGCAAUACCUCCCAACGGUGAUAGGAGUGCUGGUGCCCACUUACCCACCCACCACCGAGUACUGGUGGGAGCCCAAGGAGCCGCUGCAGAUUGCCUUUUGGAGCAUGUCCGUUACCUGCUUCUUCCUCAUUGUGCUGGUGGUCAUCUGCUGCAUCAUGUGGCGCAACGCCAAGAGACAAUCGGAUCGCUUCUACGAUGAGGAUGUCUUUAUCAACGGCGAGGGCAUGGAGCCAGAACCCGAUGCUCGGGGCGUGGACAACGCACACAUGGUAACCAACCACCAUGCCCUGCGCUCCAGGGACAACAUCUACGAGUACCGAGACUCGCCGUCUUCCAAGACUUUGGCCAGCAAGGCGCAAACGGAUACCACUUCCCUGCGCUCGCCCAGCUCGCUGGCCAUGACCCAGAAAUCCGGCAGCCAGGCCUCCCUCAAGUCGGGCAUCUCGCUGAAGGAAACCAACGGCAGUCUGACCAAGUCGGUCUCAGCACGGUCCCAGGCGAAUGGCAAUGGAACCACUGCCAAGUCAGCAGCCGCAGCACCCGUUGAGGAGAAGCGCCUGCUGCAGCCGCUCUCCAGCACUCCGGUGCCACAACUACAGGCGGAGCCGGCCAAGCGCGUCCCAACGGCGGCCAGUGUCUCUGGCAGCAGUCGCAGCACCACGCCUGUGCCGUCUGCCCGCACCACCACCACCACAACGACGGCCACGCUCAGCUCCCAGCCGGCGCCGCAGCCGAGACGCACCCAGCUGGUGGAGGGAGUGCCCCAGACGUCCGUCUAAGUAACAGCUCUCUAAGUGCGGGAUGCGCUUAGAGAGUCAGCCGAAUCGUCCAACAACGUACCACAGCCUUUCGAUGAACAAGGUUUUUUCCGGACAUUAUUUUGAAUUAAGUUAAUUCCUGAAAAUGUUUAAGUUUAAUGUAGUAUUUAAAAAUUGUGUUUGACAGAUCUUUGAGAUCUCAAUUUUGAGUUUUAGAUUAUGCUACUCUACAGUUAAAGUUUGUUUUUAAGUUCGAGAACCCAACGAAUACGAAUCCAUAUCAAUGACAUUCCAUAGCCUUUCCAGGGGCCUUAAGUGUGAGCUUGUAAAUAAAAUUAUUUUAGGAAAAUGUGUGUAUUAGAUGUAGGUACUUAUUUUUUAACAGAGCUACUUUAAAGUUAUAAGAUAAUCCAUUUUUUGUGAGUCCAUUUCUAAGGCAGUGACAGAAGUGCGAAAUUGAACUGUAACAAAAGUUAGUAAUAGACUAAAUCGUAUUCUAAAAUAAUAAAUAAUUGGCCUGGCUAUCAGUGUAAAAUUAUUUGAACCAUAUUCGUAAGAUUGUCACGCCUCUCACCGUAAGAUUAACAUUAAAAUGGGCAGACUUAGACCCUCCACACGCCGAGCAAUACCUAAAGUGCCUUCAUUCCUCGAGCUUGUCUUUGAUGGACCCCCACCUGGUUCUGCCAAUCGGUGCCUCACCCAUUCAAUGACCAAGUGUGCCUUACCACUCAUACAUACACUUACAUCCUAGUUGUAGUUUAAUUAUAUGUCUAUGUGUCGCAUAUUUAAGCCAAGAAGACCAUACCAAUCAGUGUGAACCGUCCAAUAAUUUUGUUUUCAUAAGCAUCUUGUAAAUGUUUACUGUACAUACUUGUAUCUUUACAUGUUUGAAAGCAUAUUGUAUUAGCAUUCCAUUUAUUUUUAUGUAUUUAAACCUAGUGUAACGUAUUUGUCCCUCAAUAAAAUAUUACUAAUUUA
rnacentral:misc_RNA from 1 species